AACCACACUAUCAAUGAAUGGAUUCAUCCGUGAGAUGACGUGACUGUUUCAUUUAGGACGAGAACAUGUCAUCCUAUUAACAGCCAUCGCACGAAAUUAAUAGGAUGCCACGUCUUCAUCCUAGAUGGAACGACCACGUCAUCUCAUGGGUGAAUCCAUUCAUCGAUAGUGUGAUU
rfam:Oryza glaberrima chromosome 2 Oglab02_0070_2, whole genome shotgun sequence.